rnacentral:lncRNA from 1 species
GAUCUUCCCUGUUGACGCUGCAACAUUCUUUACAUUUUCUUUGGAAAGCUCCUCUUCAUCUCCUCUCCCACCCGCCGGUAAAGCAACGGCGUUGUCAUACCCGGUGGAACCACCUCUUCCCUUUGGGUCGAGAAACGAAGACCCUCUGUACGACGGGACUAGAAAUUCCCCACCGAAGCUUUCCGGUUUACCGGAGGCGACAAGUUGUUUGAUCGUGAACAGGAAUGGCACACGCUCACCUCCAGGAAGCUGAACAGUGACGGCAGCAUAGUCGAUUCCGUCUUUCUCUUCGAAUUUGAUGGUGCCAUCGGAGGAUACUUCGAGAGGUCCCUCGAUUUCAUCGAGGGUGUAGGUCAAUCGGGUCAUGAGUUUGGUUUUUUGGAACUCCGGUGUGGAGUUCUUGCUAACGCCCUCGGCUUUGACAGUGAACGACGUCGGCUCUAAGCAAAAUUUCUUGGCGUUGUAAUUGCCUGGUUUGACGGCGAAGCCGUCGACUCCGCC